rnacentral:rRNA from 1 species
UACGUAGGGGGCAAGCGUUGUCCGGAAUCAUUGGGCGUAAAGCGCGUGUAGGCGGUUCGGUAAGUCUGCUGUGAAAGUCCAGGGCUCAACCCUGGGAUGCCGGUGGAUACUGUCGGACUAGAGUACGGGAAGAGGCGAGUGGAAUUCCCGGUGUAGCGGUGAAAUGCGCAGAUAUCGGGAGGAACACCAAUUGCGAAGGCAGCUCGCUGGGACGUCGACUGACGCUGAGACGCGAAAGCGUGGGGAG